rnacentral:rRNA from 1 species
GAUGAACGCUGGCGGCGUGCCUAAUACAUGCAAGUCGAGCGAGCGGACGAGAAGCUUGCUUCUCUGAUGUUAGCGGCGGACGGGUGAGUAACACGUGGAUAACCUACCUAUAAGACUGGGAUAACUUCGGGGAACCGGAGCUAAUACCGGAUAAUAUUUUGAACCGCAUGGUUCAAAAGUGAAAGACGGUCUUGCUGUCACUUAUAGAUGGAUCCGCGCUGCAUUAGCUAGUUGGUAAGGUAACGGCUUACCAAGGCAACGAUGCAUAGCCGACCUGAGAGGGUGAUCGGCCACACUGGAACUGAGACACGGUCCAGACUCCUACGGGAGGCAGCAGUAGGGAAUCUUCCGCAAUGGGCGAAAGCCUGACGGAGCAACGCCGCGUGAGUGAUGAAGGUCUUCGGAUCGUAAAACUCUGUUAUUAGGGAAGAACAUAUGUGUAAGUAACUGUGCACAUCUUGACGGUACCUAAUCAGAAAGCCACGGCUAACUACGUG